rnacentral:tRNA from 1 species
AUCUUCUUAGUAUUAAUAAAGUAUGAGUGCCUUCCACGCACACGGUCUUGGUUCAAAUCCAAGGGAAGAUG